rnacentral:lncRNA from 1 species
ACCAAAAGGUCUCUAAAAUUCGAGACUAAAAUUAGAAUUAUAAUUAUAUUAAGGUGUUUCAGAACUAGCCUACCAAGGCUUGGUUGAGAGAGCGUGUUAGUAUUAGGCUCAGCUCGAUUGUAGACUUGAUUCUUCUAGAUUUACUAUACCAUAUUCAAAUAAGAUGUCACAUCUGUUCUUAUAGAAUAGCUUUAGAGUUAGUCCAUAUUUUAUCUCUUAUGUUACUAUAAUAUUAUAAGAAAUAUCUACUAUACCCCCAUAAAGCUUGUACAUAAGUCACACUUAUAUGAUUUGAUUCACCA